rnacentral:rRNA from 1 species
UACGUAGGUGGCAAGCGUUGUCCGGAAUCAUUGGGCGUAAAGGGCGCGUAGGUGGCCUGGUCAGCGUGCGGUGAAAGCUCGGGGCUCAACCCCGAGUCGGCCGUGCGAACUGCUGGGCUUGAGCACUGUAGAGGCAGGCGGAAUUCCGGGUGUAGCGGUGGAAUGCGUAGAGAUCCGGAAGAACACCGGUGGCGAAGGCGGCCUGCUGGGCAGUAGCUGACACUGAGGCGCGACAGCGUGGGGAGCAAACAGG